GUCCGUGUCUCCACGCUGUCCUCGGCCGUAAAGAUUAGAUCCUUCCCUUCAAAAGUCCACCGACGGGACUGAAGUCCAGAGGUUACCUCCACCUGCUUAACAAGACCGAGCAGAGAUGCUGGCGCUCACACUUGUGCAACUCUUCAAACGCAUGGGGACGACAGCGCGUGCAGGUCCUUGUCAUCUCUCAGUGCUGUGAAGAAGCCGGUUGGAGGUCCUGGCGCACAAGACGCACAGGCCGACUCUUAUUUUGGAGGUGAUGCGUCGCUGUCAGUAACAAGGAUUCAUCCUGUUGUGAUGCUGCAGGCGGACAGGGAAUCUCUGUUACUGGGGGCGAGUGCCACGCACACGCCGUGACUGAAGCUCAGUGAUGUAUUGUGAUGUCAAUUUGAAUAAAUUCUGUGACAGUGACAAUCACUCCACAGUGUAAUUUAAUUAAACAUAUUUAAAAAAUCCCACAAACACAAAAACAUGCAAUGUAAUUCCAAAUAAUAAUAAUUUGAUGUAGGAUGUACCCGGCCUAUCGCCCUAUGUCAGCUAUUGCCCCGCCACCCUCAUACCAAUAAAGCAGUAGAAAAUGGAUGGAUGGAUAUUUAAAAAAUAAACAAUGUGUUUCCUA